AACCAAAUACAAUGUGAGAGACUCAUUCGAAUAUAAACGGUCGUGGCAGGCUGACCGUGUUUACGAGACUUGGGUCUCUCACACGCAAGAAGCCGUUUCUUAGCCAUGAAAAGCAAAGCACAGGAAGGCUAUAGAAAAAGGAGAGAGUCGGAGAGGAAAAAAAGAGAAGGGAAAUGCUUCUCGGCGCAGAGCUCGGAACAAGCUCCAGUGAGCUUAAAGAAUUGCCGAGUGAACAUGGCUUCACCCCAGGCCUUCAGCCUAGUCUGCGAGACGUUGCCUCCCUAGCAGCCAGCCAGAGAAGAGCCCCCGUCCUUAUCCUGCACACUUAUCCCAAGGGAAGUGGGGUGAGCACAAUGGAGGCAAUCUUGUCGGAAAAAGGCUCUCAGAAAGCUGUGUGUGCGGACAAAAGGGGGUUGGGAAUAUCUGGGGAGGUUCUGAAUUCACCCUGCCCCUUCAGCACCCCUCCUCUAAGCAAGUGCCCAAGCCAU